rnacentral:rRNA from 1 species
CCUACGGGGUGCAGCAGUGAGGAAUAUUGGUCAAUGGACGAGAGUCUGAACCAGCCAAGUAGCGUGAAGGAUGACUGCCCUAUGGGUUGUAAACUUCUUUUAUAUGGGAAUAAAAUGUUCCACGUGUGGGAUUUUGUAUGUACCCUAUGAAUAAGGAUCGGCUAACUCCGUGCCAGCAGCCGCGGUAAUACGGAGGAUCCGAGCGUUAUCCGGAUUUAUUGGGUUUAAAGGGAGCGUAGGUGGAUUGUUAAGUCAGUUGUGAAAGUUUGCGGCACAACCGUAAAAUUGCAGUUGAAACUGGCAGUCGUGAGUACAGUAGAGGUGGGCGGAAGUCGUGGUGUAGCGGUGAAAUGCUUAGAUAUCACGAAGAACUCCGAUUGCGAAGGCAGCUCACUGGACUGCAACUGACACUGAGGCUCGAAAGUGUGGGUAUCAAACAGGAUUAGAUACCCGAGUAGUC